rnacentral:misc_RNA from 1 species
GAUGAAGAACGCAGCGAAAUGCGAUACUUGGUGUGAAUUGCUGAAUCCCGUGAACCAUCAAGUUUUUGAACGCAAGUUGCGCCCGAAGCCAUUAGGCCGAGGGCACGCCUGCCUGGGUGUCACACAUUGUUGCCCCAAUGCCAAUCGCCUCACUUUGUAGGUAUUUGCUUGGGGUGAAUGUUGGCCUCCCGUGAGCUCUGUCUCACGGUUGGUUGAAAAUCGAGUGCAUGGUGUCGGGUGUACCAUGAUGGAUGGUGGUUGAGUGAUGCUCGAGGCCAAUCAUGGGUAACUCCACCAGAAUUGUGCUCGGUGACACACAUCAAGUCAGGCGGGGCUACCCGCUGAGUUUAAGCAUAUCAAUAAGCGGAGGA